UUCUUUCCCCCUCCUUCGCACGCAAUUUCCUCCCCCUCUCCUUUCUUCUCUCUUUCUUCUUUUUAUCCCUCUCUUUCCCACUUUUCCACCCCCUCACUCAGGCCAACCCCUCUGUAGCAAUUUCCCCUCAACUUCCUCCCAUUUCUUUAUUGUUUCUCUCUCCUCUUUCCCCAUUCCUCCUCUUGACAACCCCCACUCCCACGUCCCUCUUCUUCUUCUCUUUUCUCUUUAGUUUCUUUUCUGUUUUGCUCUCAAAACAGCACCAUGUGCUACUGUCCUGUCCCAAACCAGCCACCAUCUUGCGCCAUGGCCGUGGGCCAUCACUGUCCACAAACCGCCGUCCAUCGCCGAAGAGCCGCACCACCCAUCCACGAGCCAUCCGCCCGCCGUUCUUGCCAAAUUGGAAACCACCUCCAUCGAGACCCAUGUUUGCCGAGCACCUCCGUGACAUUUUGGACAUAACUGUGAGUAGCCAUCGCCACCGCCAUCACGCUCAUGUCGUCGGAAUUGUCAUCGGGUGAUUUUAGUUCCUAAUCAUUUUAUUAGUGCCUAAACUUGCUUAAGAGGUUGGUUAGGCUUAAUAAUAGUUUAGAUUAACUCAAGUAGGGACUAAGGAUAGUCUAGAGUGGAUUAUUAUUAGUAUAAUGAGUGAGAUUAGCACUAUAGAGGAUGGGUUGGUCCAAAACAGUGACUGUUUUGCAGAAUUGAUUCCUGGACGCUUGCCGUUUGUAAUUUUUGUAAAUCAAAAUCGGGCGCGAAUUUGAAGUUGAUGCAUUCUAGAGAAAUGUUUUAGACAUCCUUAGAUACAACAUAUAUUUUUCUCAAUAUUUUUGGGAACCUAGAAGUAGGAGAUAUCAGCAUCGUCAUCUUCGAACAGAACUUCAGUUUUCACUGGAAUUAGUGACCUGUAAGGAUUCUAGGGGUAUUUACUGACCCUUAGGGUUCGAAUUUCAAAAUGUUUCCUUCACAAAAGUUGUUUUUUACAUCUUCUAGUCUAACAUACUCAAAUUUCAGAUCAAACGGAUGUGUUUAAGACCUCGAACCAAACUGAUUUCGGAAAAACUGACUUUCUGAGAACGGACCUAAUUUUGGCGCUGGAUUGAGUGAUUUACUGCGCUGAAUCUGGAAGGAUUUGGGUUUAGGUGUCUCAUGAAAAAUGUUCUUUUAUGUGUCAUUUAUAACAUAUUCAAAUUUGAAAAUUUUCCGAGCUCAAUUGGUUAGGUUUCUAGAUUUAAAUUUGGAGACGCGCGAAGGCCCGGUUUCUACCAAUUAAGACCGAUUUUAGUUUAAUGAUGGUUCUUGAUACUUUGCUUUCUUUAAUUAGUGUUUUUAAUGACUUGUGGAUUUAAUUUAUUAGUUAUUGAAUUCUAGAAUUUCACUGUUCAUGACGUACUAUUCACUAGUUACUGUUCACGCGAUACUGUUCACAAGUUACUGUUCACGCGCACUGUUCACCCGAGAAUGAAAAGUGGUCUAAUUUCAUGUAUAUUGAUUUUAUGAAGUGAAUGGAUGUGUAAAUGCAUAGGCAUCUGCAUGAAUUAGGUGAUGUUUUGUGCAAUUGUAUAGUGAUUGGAAACUGUUGGUAUUUAAUUAGAAAAUUCCGGGUGUCAGGUUUUGGACGCUGAAAGUGUUUUUAAAUACUAUACCAAACUGUGGGAUUUUAAAGAGAUGACACAAAUUUUCUGGUUCGAUCUGACCGUGUCCCCACACACGAUUAUUUUACCAUGCAUUUUUAAUAUGAAGAAAAUAGGCCAGGAUCACUAUUUUAAUUGAGGUAUUUAAGUGCAAUGCACGAUAUCCUGUGCCAAAAUUGAAUGAAUGCAUGAAUGAUAUGAGAUGCCUUCAUGAGUCUUUGGGGUCGGACGAUGCUCCUUCGGGAAUGCCCCAAGUCAACGGAUGCCGGUCGCAGUGGAUGCUGGGUCGAUGCUCCUUCGGGAAUGCCCCACGUCAAUGGAUGCCGAUCGCAGUGGAGGCUGGGCCGAUGCUCCUAUAUGGAAUGCCUUCUAAAUGUAGAUGUUGCCGUGCUCGAUGGUGCGAGACGAUGCUCGGUUUGCCGGAAGACUGUUAUUUGGUGCAUUGACUGGGAUCCAUGUGAUUGAUCGAUGUGUGCUGUGUGGCACAAUAAUGUGUAAGAACGCAUGAGAAUCAUGGCAUCUUUAGUCCUAGUCAUGCAUGAAUUAAGCACAUUGUUUAUGGCACGUACACAUGAAUCGAUAACGCGUUUCACAUAUGCUUCCGCUAUACUGAGAACUAAGCCUUGAGGGGUGGCUCGACUGGGAUAGCGGUUCGUCCACUCCAGUGCGGAGCCCAAAGAGGACAAUACUGAGCUAGGAUGAGGGAUGGCGGUGCAUCCGCGCCUCUACCCCAGACAACGCGUUCUUGUGGCAAUGGCCAGGGUAUGGCAUAUCAGGUAAGGAUGUAUGCGAAUCAACUAUUGAUUGUUGAUUGUUAAUCUCAUGUUUGUUGUGGGAUGGUUCUGAAGAGAUAUCCUGAGUUGAGUUGGUGUACUAAUCGAGGGAUUAGGGGAAGAACUCGCUGAGAUUUACAUCUCACUAGUUAUUGAAUAACCAUUUUUAGGUGUCCAGUGUGAAGAACCCGAAGCUUGAAGCAAAAGGGUCAAUAGCAUAGGUGGCUCAGUAGUACCUUAUGAGAUACACAUUAUGUAUAAGCUUGAGGUGUUUAUGAAAAUGUAUUUGAUUUGAAACCGGUUGUCCUACUUUUCUAUCUCAUAUUUGUUGUUGUCAAGGGAUUAGUUAAUUCGCUUCCGCAUGUGCAAUAAAAUGAAAGGGGUCAGCGACAAAUCUUGGGAACGUCGCAAAAUUCUAUUGACCACCGAGGGAUGUGUGCACGCUCGAGAUUUGGGGCGUGACAUUCGUUCCUUUUAUCCGAUGAGAGAGAGGAAAGAAGCUGCACGUGAAAUUGAAAGUGAUGGUGGGCCCAGGUCAAUUGUUUGACCUUUGGGCACACGUUUUCUUCCCAGCGAAGCAGUUUAAAAGGAAACCCUAUGAAGCCGCACAACGACGAUCAAUGAAGCCGCAAGUCCUCCGUGAGAAGCUUGAAGAGAUACGCGAUUUCGUACGUGAGCGAACCAGGCGUAUGUAGAGUGUUGUAUUUUGAGCUUGAACACACGGUAAUUGUGUACCGUGAGUUUAUAUCCAAGUGAGUUGUUUAUUUAUAAACACUUUGGGUUUUGAGUUAAUCUAGGUGUGGGAAAUACUUGAGUAUUUUGAGCGAUUAUAAACUCUGAUACUCCGAUUAUAGUGAAUUAUUUGCUGUUGGCUCUCUC